CUCAUGGAGAGUUUGAUCCUAGCUCAGGAUGAACGUUGGCGACAUGCUUAACACAUGCAAGUCGGAUGGGAAGUGGUGUUUCCAGUGUCGGACGGGUGAGUAACGCGUAAGAACCUGCCCUUGGGAGGGGAACAAUAGUUGGGAAUGGCUGCUAAUACCCCAUAGGCUGAGGAGAAAACAGAGGAAUCCACCCAAGGAGGGGCUCGUGUCUGAUUAGUUAGUUGGUGAGGCGAUGGCUUACCAAGGUGACGAUCAGUAGCUGGUCCGAGAGGAUGAUCAGCCACACUGGGACUGAGACACAGCCCAGACUCCUACGGGAGGCAGCAGUGGGGAAUUUUCCGCAAUGGGCAAAAGCCUGACAAAGCAAUGUUGUGUGAAGGCAGAAGGCCCAUAGGUCAUAAACUUCUUUUCUCGGAGAAGAAACAAUGAUGGUAUCUAAGGAAUAAGCAUCGGCUAACUCUGUGCCAGUAGCCGCGGUAAGACAGAGGAUGCAAGCGUUAUCCGGAAUGAUUAGGCAUAAAGCGUCUGUAGGUGGCUUUUCAAGUUCGCUGUCAAAUCCCAGGGCUCAACCCUGGACAAGCGGUGGAAACUACCAAGCUGGAGUAUGGUAGGGGCAGAGGGAAUUGCUAGUGGAGCGGUGAAAUGCGUUGAGAUCGGAAAGAACACCAACAACGAAAGCACUCUGCUGGGCCAACACUCAAACUGAGAGACGAAAGCUAGGGCAGCAAAUGGGAUUAAAUACCCCAGUAGUCCUAGCUGUAAACGAUGGAUACUAAGUGCUGUGCGUAUCAACCCACGCAGUGUUGUAGCUAACAUGUUAAGUAUCCCGCCUGGGGAGUAUGUUCACAAGAAUGAAACUCAAAGGAAUUGACGGGGGCUCGCAUAAGCGAUGGAGCAUGUGGUUCAAUUCGAUGCAAAGCGAAGAACCUUACUAGGGCUUGACAUGCCAUGAAUCCUCACGAAAGAGAGGAGUGCCUUCAGGAACGUGGACACAGGUGGUGCAUGGCUAUCGUCAGCUCGUGCCAUAAGGUGUUGGGUUAAGUCCCGCAACGAGUACAACCCUCGUGUUUAGUUUCCAGCAUUGAGUUUGGAACCCUGAAUAGACUGUCGGUGAUAAGCCGGAGGAAGGUGAGGAUGACGUCAAAUCAUCAUGCCCCUUACGCCCUGGGUGACACACAUGCUACAAUGACCGGGACAAAGGGUCACGACCCUGCGAGGGCAAGCUAACCUCAAAAACUCGACCUCCGUUCGGAUUGCAGGCUGCAACUCGCCUGCAUGAAGCCAGAAUCGCUAGUAAUCACCAGUCAGCCAUACGGCGGUGAAUAUAUUCCCGGGCCUUGUACACACUGCCUGUCACACUAUGGGAGCUGGCCAUGCCCCAAGUCAUUACCUUAACUGCAAGGAGGGGGAUGCCGAAGGCUGGGCUAGUGACUGGAGUGAAGUCGUAACAAGGUAGCCGUACUAGAAGGUGUGGCUGGAUCACCUCCUUU
rfam:Picea glauca, whole genome shotgun sequence.